rnacentral:rRNA from 1 species
AGAAAGUGAUCCUGGCUCAGAUUGAACGCUGGCGGCAUGCCUAACACAUGCAAGUCGAACGCGAAAGCGCCUUCGGGCGUGAGUAGAGUGGCGGACGGGUGAGUAACGCGUGGGAAUCUGCCCUGUAGUGGGGGACAACCCGGGGAAACUCGGGCUAAUACCGCAUACGUCCUACGGGAGAAAGGGGGCCUUCGGGCUCUCGCUACAGGAUGAGCCCGCGUCCGAUUAGCUAGUUGGUGGGGUAAAGGCCCACCAAGGCGACGAUCGGUAGCUGGUCUGAGAGGAUGAUCAGCCACACUGGGACUGAGACACGGCCCAGACUCCUACGGGAGGCAGCAGUGGGGAAUAUUGGACAAUGGGCGAAAGCCUGAUCCAGCCAUGCCGCGUGUGUGAAGAAGGCCUGCGGGUUGUAAACCACUUUCAGUAGGGAAGAAAUGCUGCGGGUUAAUACCCCUUGGUCUUGACGUUACCUACAGAAGAAGCACCGGCUAACUCCGUGCCAGCAGCUCCGGUAAUACUGAGGGUGCAAGCGUUAAUCGGAAUCACUGGGCGUAAAGCGCACGUAGGCGGCUAGGUAAGUCUUAUGUGAAAGCCCCGCGCUCAACCUGAGAACUGCAUUUGAUACUGCUUGCCUUGAGUCUUGCAGAGGGGGGUGGAAUUUCCAGGUGUAGCGGGGGAAAUGCGUAGAUAUCUGGAGGAACACCUAGUGUCGAAGGCGGCCCCCCUGGACUAAGACUGACGCUUUACGUGCGAAGCGUGGGGAUCAAACACGAUUAGAUACCCUGGUACUCCACGCCUUAAACGAUGUUCACCAAGCCGUUGCCUUCCUAUUUAGGGUUCUAUUGGUAGCAGCUAACGCGCACACGCUGUACGCCCGGGGAAGUUCGGUCCACAAGGUUAAAAUCCUAAUGACUUGACGGGGGCCAGUCAUGUCGGGGGAGCUAUUGGUUUUAGUUCCAUUGAACGCCGACAAAUUUA